UGCUGAGUGUUGUUGUGUAUCGUAGCGCCGAGUUGGGCUCGCCGGAUACGCUGCUUGGAUCGCCGGAUUGCUCUCUCUUUCUCUCGUUGGACCAUAGAUUUAUGCAAAGGAGGAUAUCGACAACCUUAUAGGUGGAAUACUAGACGGACACUAACGUGGACGAGAGGAACGGAGGAAGAGGGAAACUUGCUGCUGUGAGUUUGCAUCUGUGAAGAAGUGGUAUGGUGGCUGGAAAAAGCCUCAUUCAUGCAUUUGGAGUUAUUACAGCGUAAAGUGAACCUAGGACGAAGGCAGACAGUAAUUGUGAGUAACUACGUCCCUUGAAGUAGGUGUUUUGGAUACAGUUGAUCUAGAUAAUCGUUGUUGAGUGUUUUCAAGAGAGAGUGAGUGGCCCUACCCCUGUCCCAGUGUGGUGGGUGAGCCGAAGGGUUUUGUGUGGAAGCAGCUACAGUGACGACAACAACCAAACACUAGGCCGUCUACCAUCUCCCUUUUCUCGCCCAGAGCGAAGUAGAAGAAGACGGGUGUCAUUGUGUGCACUGAGCGUGGUGGAGUGGAGGCGAGUGAGAUCCGCCAGCCCGAGGUCUCGACGAAAGGGCGCCCCGGUCCAGCUUUCGAUCGACCAACGGGUCUCGAGGAAAGGGCAGCGCUCGACCCGGUGUGCUGGCGUGACAUCCUCGCCCCUCUGCCAAUCAACGAGUCCGCCGAGUGGGUCUUGGCCCCCGGCGUCUCCUUGCGAACCACUGUCUAAUCAACGCACUGCAUAGCUAGCCAGCGUUAAGCCCGCCAUCCGCAGUUCUCUGUGGAGAGAAAGAGAGCCAGCGUGAACACUGAGAUAUUGAGUUGUGGAGAGAGCCAUACCUACCUGGAAGCUGCAACCAGCACAGAGGUGAGAGAAAACCUUAGAAUCAAUUCACCGUGUCCUUGCAUCCCAACAGUCAUCUGUGGAGAGAGAAAGAGAGCCAGCGUGAGCACUGAGAUAUUGAGCUGUGGAGAGAGCCAUACCUACCUAGAAGCUGUAACCAGCACAGAGGUGAGAGAAAACCUUGAAAUGAUUCACUGUGUCCCUGUGUUCCAGCAGUCGUCUGUGGAGAGGAAGAGAACUAGCAUGAACGCUGAGAUACCGAGCUGUGAAGAGAGCCUAGAGGGGCCGUUAUUUUAAGUUCCCCUUUUCCCCUGCCUUAUUUAUUAAUUUUAAAUAAAUUAAAUAAAGUACAUUUUAAUUUA